rnacentral:rRNA from 1 species
GAUGAACGCUGGCGGCGUGCCUAAUACAUGCAAGUCGAGCGAACAGAUAAGGAGCUUGCUCCUUUGACGUUAGCGGCGGACGGGUGAGUUACACGUGGAUAACCUACCUAUAAGACUGGGAUAACUUCGGGAAACCGGAGCUAAUACCGGAUAACAUAUUGAACCGCAUGGUUCAAUAGUGAAAGGCGGCUUUGCUGUCACUUAUAGAUGGAUCCGCGCCGUAUUAGCUAGUUGGUAAGGUAACGGCUUACCAAGGCAACGAUACGUAGCCGACCUGAGAGGGUGAUCGGCCACACUGGAACGGAGACACGGUCCAGACUCCUACGGGAGGCAGCAGUAGGGAAUCUUCCGCAAUGGGCGAAAGCCUGACGGAGCAACGCCGCGUGAGUGAUGAAGGUCUUCGGAUCGUAAAACUCUGUUAUCAGGGAAGAACAAAUGUGUAAGUAACUGUGCACAUCUUGACGGUACCUGAUCAGAAAGCCACGGCUAACUACGUG